GCAAGUCGAGCGAACGGACGAGAAGCUUGCUUCUCUGAUGUUAGCGGCGGACGGGUGAGUAACACGUGGAUAACCUACCUAUAAGACUGGGAUAACUUCGGGAAACCGGAGCUAAUACCGGAUAAUAUUUUGAACCGCAUGGUUCAAAAGUGAAAGACGGUCUUGCUGUCACUUAUAGAUGGAUCUGCGCUGCAUUAGCUAGUUGGUAAGGUAACGGCUUACCAAGGCAACGAUGCAUAGCCGACCUGAGAGGGUGAUCGGCCACACUGGAACUGAGACACGGUCCAGACUCCUACGGGAGGCAGCAGUAGGGAAUCUUCCGCAAUGGGCGAAAGCCUGACGGAGCAACGCCGCGUGAGUGAUGAAGGUCUUCGGAUCGUAAAACUCUGUUAUUAGGGAAGAACAUAUGUGUAAGUAACUGUGCACAUCUUGACGGUACCUAAUCAGAAAGCCACGGCUAACUACGUGCCAGCAGCCGCGGUAACACGUAGGUGGCAAGCGUUAUCCGGAAUUAUUGGGCGUAAAGCGCGCGUAGGCGGUUUUUUAAGUCUGAUGUGAAAGCCCACGGCUCAACCGUGGAGGGUCAUUGGAAACUGGAAAACUUGAGUGCAGAAGAGGAAAGUGGAAUUCCAUGUGUAGCGGUGAAAUGCGCAGAGAUAUGGAGGAACACCAGUGGCGAAGGCGACU
rnacentral:rRNA from 1 species